rnacentral:rRNA from 1 species
UACGAAGGGGGCUAGCGUUGUUCGGAAUUACUGGGCGUAAAGCGUAUGCAGGCGGAUCGUUAAGUCGGGGGUGAAAUCCCGAGGCUCAACCUCGGAACUGCCUUCGAUACUGGCGAUCUUGAGUCCGGGAGAGGUGAGUGGAACUCCGAGUGUAGAGGUGAAAUUCGUAGAUAUUCGCAAGAACACCAGUGGCGAAGGCGGCUCACUGGCUCGGUACUGACGCUGAGGUGCGAAAGCGUGGGGAGCAAACAGG